rnacentral:rRNA from 1 species
UACGUAGGAGGCUAACGUUAUUCGGAUUUACUGGGCGUAAAGCGCGUGCAGGCGGUUCGGUAAGUUGGACGUGAAAGCUCCCGGCUCAACUGGGAGAGGUCGUUCAAUACUGCCGGGCUAGAGGAUGGUAGAGGGAGGUGGAAUUCCGGGUGUAGUGGUGAAAUGCGCAGAUAUCCGGAGGAACACCAGUGGCGAAGGCCACCUCCUGGACCAUUCCUGACGCUCAGACGCGAAAGCUAGGGUAGCGAACGGGAUUAGAUACCCCCGUAGUCCCUGAGCGGG